UUAAGUAAGGAAGGGCGUACGGCGAAUGCCUGGCCACUCGAAACUGAAGAAGGACGCGCCAAACUGCGAAAAGCUCCGUGAAGCUGUAAGGAAGCGAAGAAGCGGAGGUGUCCGAAUGGGGGAACCCGGCAGCAGACAUGAGCUGUCAUCUGCAGGUGAAUACAUGGCCUGCAAGAGAGGUACCCGGCGAACUGAAACAUCUAAGUAGCCGGAGGAAAAGAAAACAACAGUGAUUCCCUGAGUAGCGGCGAGCGAAAGGGGAGAAGCCCAAACCGGUUGAAGGACCGGGGUUGAAGGACCAUGAGAUGGCAAGAACGAGGAUAGGAGAACGGGAUCGAAAGCCCGGCCGAAGAAGGUGAAAGCCCUGUAACCGAAAUCCGAGUAAAGCCUAAUGGGAUCCUGAGUACGGCGAGACACGAGAAAUCUUGUCGGAAGCAGGCGGGACCAUCCGCCAAGGCUAAAUAUAAACGAGUGAGCGAUAGUGAACCAGUACCGUGAGGGAAAGGUGAAAAGAACCGCGGGAGCGGAGUGAAAGAGAACCUGAAACCGUAUGCCUACAAGAAGUCAGAGCCCGUUAAGGGGUGAUGGCGUGCCUUUUGUAGAAUGAACCGGCGAGUUGCGACAGACUGCGAGGUUAAGGAGGAAAGACCGGAGCCGAAGCGAAAGCGAGUCUUAAGAGGGCGAAAGUAGGAUGUUGCAGACCCGAAACCGGGUGAUCUAGCCAUGAGCAGGUUGAAGUUGAGGUGAAACUCAAUGGAGGACCGAACCGACUACCGUUGAAAAGUUAGCGGAUGACUUGUGGCUAGGGGAGAAAUUCCAAUCGAACCCGGAGAUAGCUGGUUCUCCCCGAAAUAGCUUUAGGGCUAGCGUUGGAAAGAACCUUAGUGAAGGUAGAGCACUGAAUGUGUGAUGGCCCCAUCCCGGGGUACUGAAUACAAUCAAACUGCGAAUGUCAUUAAGGAUGUCCGGCAGUCAGACUGUGAGUGAUAAGGUCCAUGGUCAAGAGGGAAACAGCCCAGACCGCCAGUUAAGGUCCCAAAAUACAGGCUAAGUGGAAAAGGAUGUGGGGAUGCCCAGACAACUAGGAGGUUGGCUCAGAAGCAGCCAUCCUUUAAAGAGUGCGUAACAGCUCACUAGUCGAGUGACCCUGCGCCGAAAAUGUACCGGGGCUAAGCCUGAUACCGAAACUGCGGAUUGUAGGAAACUAUAGUGGUAGGGGAGCGUUGUAUACGAGCAGAAGCCGUACCGUGAGGAGCGGUGGAUUGUAUAGAAGUGAGAAUGCCGGUGUGAGUAGCGAGAUGUAGGUGAGAAUCCUACACACCGAAAGCCCAAGGAUUCCAGGGGAAGGUUCGUCCGCCCUGGGUAAGUCGGGACCUAACGCGAGGCCGAAAGGCGUAGUGGAUGGAAAGCAGGCGAAAGAUUCCUGCACCCGUAUAUGGAGCGAAGGAGUGACGGAGACGGAUAGUGUGACCCUCUUAAUGGAUUGAGGGCGAAGCGAAGCGGCUGGUUACCAGGCAAAUCCGGUAACCACAAGGCUAGGGCGUGACAGGCAAGCGAAAUCCAAGGAAAGUAGCGAAGCACAUGAUGACGGCUUCCAGGAAAAGCUUCUGGCAAUGCAUAUGCGGCCCGUACCAAAACCGACACAGGUGGGCAGGGAGAGAAUCCCGAGGUGAGCGAGAGAACUGUUGCCAAGGAACUCGGCAAAAUGACUCCGUAAGUUAGCGAGAAGGAGUGCUUAAGCAAUUAAGCCGCAGUGAAGAGGCCCAAGCGACUGUUUAACUAAAACACAGCUCUCUGCGAAGUCGCAAGACGAAGUAUAGGGGGUGACACCUGCCCGGUGCUGGAAGGUUAAGAGGAUCUGUUAAGAGCGAUCUGAAGCAGUGAUCCGAAGCCCCAGUGAACGGCGGCCGUAACUAUAACGGUCCUAAGGUAGCGAAAUUCCUUGUCAGGUAAGUUCUGACCCGCACGAAAGGCGUAAUGAUUUGGGCACUGUCUCGACAAUGAACUCGGCGAAAUUGUAGUACUAGUGAAGAUGCUAGUUACCUGUGAUAAGACAGAAAGACCCCAUGGAGCUUUACUGUAGCUUGAUAUUGAGACUAGGUAAGAGAUGUACAGAAUAGAUGGGAGACUAUGAGAUAAGGACGCCAGUUCUUAAGGAGUCACCUUUGGGAUACCAUCCUUCUUUUACUUGGAAUCUAACUAGUUGCCAUGAACUGGUAAUAGGACAGUGUCAGGUGGGCAGUUUGACUGGGGCGGUCGCCUCCUAAAGAGUAACGGAGGCGCCCAAAGGUUUCCUCAGCGCGGACAGAAAUCGCGCGAAAGAGUGUAAAGGCAGAAGGAAGCUUAACUGGAAGACAGACAUGUCGAGCAGAUACGAAAGUAGGGCUUAGUGAUCCGGCGGUAGUGAAUGGAAAUGCCGUCGCUCAACGGACAAAAGUUACCCUGGGGAUAACAGGCUUAUCUCCCCCAAGAGUUCACAUCGACGGGGAGGUUUGGCACCUCGAUGUCGGCUCAUCGCAUCCUGGAGCGGAAGUACGUUCCAAGGGUUGGGCUGUUCGCCCAUUAAAGCGGUACGCGAGCUGGGUUCAGAACGUCGUGAGACAGUUCGGUCCUUAUCUAUCACAGGCGUAAGAUAUUUGAGAGGAGUUGCCCCUAGUACGAGAGGACCGGGGUGAAGGAACCGAUGGUGCACCAGUUGUAUCACCAGAUGCAUAGCUGGGUAGCCAAGUUCCGAUGGGAUAAACGCUGAAAGCAUAUAAGUGUGAAGCCCACCUCAAGAUUAGAUAUCUCAUGGCGAAAGUCAGUAAGACCCCAAGAAGACUACUUGGUUGAUAGGCUGGAAGUGUAAGUAUAGUAAUAUAUUAAGCGGACCAGUACUAAUAGGUCGAGGGCUUGACCAA
rnacentral:rRNA from 1 species